rnacentral:rRNA from 1 species
AUUGCUCGUACGUGUUUUCCGGUGGGCUGGGGUUUAACUUGCUCCAGUCUAUACGGACUUGAACGAAGUCAUUUUCCCCCAACAUGUGGGGCUCGUUUGUCGCGUCACGAGUAGUCCAGGUUCUACGGCACGUGUGUGUCAUGCUAGCCGCACGAACAGUGUUGGAACUAGCCUUGGAGCUUUUGGUCGAGAAAUAGCUAUGUGUUAUCCUUAGCCCGUUGAAGGGCGAAAGGGAAUCCGGUCAACAUUCCGGAACCCGGCUGCGUAAACCGCUCUCUGUUGGCGUAAGCCGGCGAGCGCUUUGUUGGGGUAACCCAAGCUGUCCCGGAGACUCUGGCGGGGGGUCUGGGAAGAGUUUUCUUUUCUUUUUAAGCGUUCGUGGACCCUGGAAUUCUAUAGCAGAGAGAUAGGGUUUGGAACGCGAAAAACAUCGCAGUUGCGGCGGUGACCGGACUUCCCCCCCGGACCUUGAAAAUCUGGGUGAGAGCGACGCGGUGAUCGCGCCGGUUCGUAUCCAUAUCCGCAUCUGGUCUCCAAGGUUCAAAGCCUCUUGUCGAUAGAAUAAUGUAGGUAAGGGAAGUCGGCAAAUUGGAUCCGUAACUUCGGGACAAGGAUUGGCUCUGAGGAUCGGGGCGUGUCGGGCUUGGUCGGGAAGCGGGUCAGUGCCAACGUGCCGGGCCUGGGCGAGGGUCGUGUGUAUUCUUCGGCAGCAAUGUCGAGUGUCCCAUGAUCCGAACUCGGUCCCGUGCCACUUGGCCUCCCGCGGAUCUUCCUUGCUGCGGGUUUUCGACCAAGCAGACCAGGCUGGGCCGCUUCAGGCCCGCGUGGACGGCUCCGAAUCAAUCCCUUCGGCCGCCAUUCAACGGUCAACUCAGAACUGGCACGGACAAGGAGAAUCCGACUGCCUAAUUAAAGCAAAGCAUUGCGAGGGCUCUAGCCGAGUGCUUACGCAAUGUGAUUUCUGCCCAGUGCUCUGAAUGUCAACGUGUAGAAAUUCAAGCAAGCGCGGGUAAACGGCGGGAGUAACUAUGACUCUCUUAAGGUAGCCAAAUGCCUCGUCAUCCAAUUAGUGACGCGCAUGAAUGGAUUAACGAGAUUCUCACUGUCCCUAUCUACUAUCUAGCGAAACCACAGCCAAGGGAACGGGCUUGGAAACAUUAGCGGGGAAAGAAGACCCUGUUGAGCUUGACUCUAGUCUGGCACUGUAAGGAGACAUGAGAGGUGUAGCAUAAGUGGGAGAAGGCGUGGCUUUAUGCCUGUCCGUCGACGGUGAAAUACCACUACUUUCAUCGUUUCUUUACUUACUCGGAUAGGCGGAGAGCGUGUCCGUCGAGGGCUCAGCCCACGCGGACCGGUAUUCUCGCGCCAAGCGUCCGGGUUGCCGGCAAGCACCCGUCAGUGCUUGGGUUCGUGCGUGUCCUUAACUUGUCACCGCAAGGUGGCUGUCACUGA